CAGCAGCCGCGGUAAUACGAAGGGUGCAAGCGUUACUCGGAAUUACUGGGCGUAAAGCGUGCGUAGGUGGUGGUUUAAGUCCGUUGUGAAAGCCCUGGGCUCAACCUGGGAAUUGCAGUGGAUACUGGGUCACUAGAGUGUGGUAGAGGAUAGUGGAAUUUCCGGUGUAGCAGUGAAAUGCGUAGAGAUCGGAAGGAACAUCUGUGGCGAAGGCGACUAUCUGGGCCAACACUGACACUGAGGCACGAAAGCGUGGGGAGCAAACAGGAUUAGAUACCCCCGUAGUCCCUGUCUCUUAUAC
rnacentral:rRNA from 1 species